CUGGUGCUCUCUCUGUCUGCCCUCUCCUUAGGUACAUUAAGAUAAAGAUCCCAACUUCUCCAGGGUUCAGUUUCCUGUCUAAGGCCACGGCGAUGGCAGCUGAUGAUGGACCUUCAAGGCCAAGCUCUGAAGUGGAGAUGAAAACAUUGGUGACCGUUUUCAUCCAGUGUUGUACAUUUAGCAGCACAGGUCCUGAAUGUGUCGUCUGAGAGAGAGAGAGAGAGAGAGAGAGAGAGAGAGAGGUGGCUGGACUAUCAAAGAGCGAGAGUGAGAGGGCAAAGGAGAAU